rnacentral:rRNA from 1 species
UGUUCCUACGGGAGGCAGCAGUGGGGAAUAUUGCACAAUGGGGGAAACCCUGAUGCAGCGACGCCGCGUGAGUGAAGAAGUAAUUCGUUAUGUAAAGCUCUAUCAGCAGGGAAGAAAAUGACGGUACCUGAGUAAGAAGCCCCGGCUAACUACGUGCCAGCAGCCGCGGUAAUACGUAGGGGGCAAGCGUUAUCCGGAUUUACUGGGUGUAAAGGGAGCGUAGACGGCAGUGCAAGUCCGGAGUGAAAGCCCGGGGCUCAACCCUGGGGCUGCUCUGGAAACUGUAAAGCUGGAGUGCG